rnacentral:lncRNA from 1 species
AAACAAUUUUAUUACAGAUAUUCAUCCACUUCAAAGUUGUAUAAAAUUAAUCAAACUUGAUCUCCAUGGAAAUCAGGGAACAACCUAUGAAGAGGAAAUUAAUAAUAUUAAACAUAUUACUUCAAAAAUUAAUGCAAUUCUGGCUCAUAAUUCACCAGUUUUGAUUGUUCAAAGAUGGAUACGUGGUUUCUUAGUUAGAAAAAAUUUGAGACUGUUACAGUCCUCUGAAUUUAAGGAUUGCUUGAAGAUGUGUCCAAGAAAGCGAGAAAAAAAAAACAUUUUUUUUCUAAUUUUUAAGUUGAUAGAAAAAUAUUAAUCUAGUUUCCUUGAAAUAUAAAAUCUAUUGAAAAUAAAGAAAUGUUUCAUGUUAAA